UACGGGGGGGGCAAGCGUUGUUCGGAAUUACUGGGCGUAAAGGGCUCGUAGGCGGCCAACUAAGUCAGACGUGAAAUCCCUCGGCUUAACUGGGGAACUGCGUCUGAUACUGGAUGGCUUGGGUUCGGGAGAGGGAUGCGGAAUUCCAGGUGUAGCGGUGAAAUGCGUAGAUAUCUGGAGGAACACCGGUGGCGAAGGCGGCAUCCUGGACCGACACUGACGCUGAGGAGCGAAAGCCAGGGGAGCAAACGGG
rnacentral:rRNA from 1 species